GACGAACGCUGGCGGCGUGCUUAACACAUGCAAGUCGAACGGAAAGGCCCUGCUUUUGUGGGGUGCUCGAGUGGCGAACGGGUGAGUAACACGUGAGUAACCUGCCCUUGACUUUGGGAUAACUUCAGGAAACUGGGGCUAAUACCGGAUAGGAGCUCCUGCUGCAUGGUGGGGGUUGGAAAGUUUCGGCGGUUGGGGAUGGACUCGCGGCUUAUCAGCUUGUUGGUGGGGUAGUGGCUUACCAAGGCUUUGACGGGUAGCCGGCCUGAGAGGGUGACCGGCCACAUUGGGACUGAGAUACGGCCCAGACUCCUACGGGAGGCAGCAGUGGGGAAUAUUGCACAAUGGGCGGAAGCCUGAUGCAGCAACGCCGCGUGCGGGAUGACGGCCUUCGGGUUGUAAACCGCUUUCGCCUGUGACGAAGCGUGAGUGACGGGAAUGGGUAAAGAAGCACCGGCUAACUACAU
rnacentral:rRNA from 1 species